rnacentral:rRNA from 1 species
UCGAGAAUCUUCCGCAAUGGGCGAAAGCCUGACGGAGCGACACCGCGUGCAGGAUGAAGGCCCUCGGGUUGUAAACUGCUGUCACGCCAUAGGAAUUCCCUGUCGUUAAUAGCUGCAGGGUUGACCAAAGCGAAAGGAAGCACCGGCUAACUCCGUGCCAGCAGCCGCGGUAAGACGGAGGGUGCAAACGUUGUUCGGAAUCACUGGGCAUAAAGCGCACGUAGGCGGUCCACUCAGUCGAGUGUGAAAGCCCCCGGCUCAACCGGGGAAUUGCAUUCGAUACUGGUGGACUUGAGGACGGUUGGGGUGAGUGGAACUCCUGGUGGAGCGGUGAAAUGCGUAGAUAUCAGGAGGAACACCAGUGGCGAAAGCGGCUCACUGGACCGUAUCUGACGCUGAGGUGCGAAAGCUAGGGUAGCGAACGGGAUUAGAUACCCCCGUAGUCC